rnacentral:rRNA from 1 species
GACGAACGCUGGCGGCGUGCUUAACACAUGCAAGUCGAACGGAAAGGCCCUGCUUUUGUGGGGUGCUCGAGUGGCGAACGGGUGAGUAACACGUGAGUAACCUGCCCUUGACUUUGGGAUAACUUCAGGAAACUGGGGCUAAUACCGGAUAGGAGCUCCUGCUGCAUGGUGGGGGUUGGAAAGUUUCGGCGGUUGGGGAUGGAUUCGCGGCUUAUCAGCUUGUUGGUGGGGUAGUGGCUUACAAAGGCUUUGACGGGUAGCCGGCCUGAGAGGGUGACCGGCCACAUUGGGACUGGGAUACGGCCCAGACUCCGACGGGAGACAGCAGUGGGGAAUAUUGCACAAUGGGCGGAAGCCUGAUGCAGCAACGCCGCGUGCGGGAUGACGGCCUUCGGGUUGUAAACCGCUUUCGCCUGUGACGAAGCGUGAGUGACGGUAAUGGGUAAAGAAGCACCGGCUAACUACGUG